rnacentral:rRNA from 1 species
UACGGAGGGUGCAAGCGUUGUUCGGAUUUAUUGGGCGUAAAGCGCGUGUAGGCGGUUUCUUAAGUCUGAUGUGAAAGCCCCGGGCUCAACCCGGGAAGUGCAUUGGAUACUGGGGGACUUGAAUACGGGAGAGGGAUGCAGAAUUCCAGGUGUAGCGGUGAAAUUCGUAGAUAUUAGGAAGAACACCAGUGGCGAAGGCGGCACCCUGGCCCACACCUGACGCUGAGGUGCGAAAGCGUGGGUAGCAAAC